rnacentral:rRNA from 1 species
GCCGAACGAGUAAGGGUUCCUCAGCAAUGCUGAUCAGCUGAGGGUUAGCCGGUCCUAAGUCAGCCCGUAAGUCGAAGCUGACAACAGGGAAAUAGGUUAAUAUUCCUAUGCCAGUGUGUACUCAAAGCCAACGCUUUGGGGCCGCCUCUGCCGGGCUUUCGCCCGGUCGAACUGUCGAAGUUCGUGGAAGCCGUAAUGGCACGAAGCGACCGAA